rnacentral:rRNA from 1 species
AGGAUAAACGCUGGCGGCGUGCCUAACACAUGCAAGUCGAACGCCCUUUUUCCUCGCAAGAGGGGGGAGGGAGUGGCGGACGGGUGAGGAACACAUGGGUGACCUACCUUUCAGUGAGGAAUACCGGCGAGAAAUCGCCGACAAGACCGCAUGAGCUUCCCUCGGUAAGCGAGGGAAGGAAAGCUCUUUUUCGUGCGAACGGAGGGGGGCGCUGGAAGAUGGGCCUGUGGCCGAUUAGCUAGUUGGUGAGGUAACGGCUCACCAAGGCGACGAUCGGUAGCUGGUCUGAGAGGACGAUCAGCCACACUGGGAUUGAGAACGGCCCAGACUCCUACGGGGGGCAGCAGUGAGGAAUUUUCCGCAAUGGGCGCAAGCCUGACGGAGCAACGCCGCGUGCAGGAAGACGGUUUUCGGAUCGUAAACUGCUUUUCUCGGGGACGAGAACGGACGGUACCCGAGGAAUCAGCCCGGCUAACUACGUGCCAGCAGCCGCGGUAA